UAACAUGCUAUACGCCGGAAAGUC
rnacentral:siRNA from 1 species